UCCUACGGGAGGCAGCAGUGGGGAAUCUUAGACAAUGGGCGCAAGCCUGAUCUAGCCAUGCCGCGUGAGCGAAGAAGGCCUUAGGGUUGUAAAGCUCUUUCAGCUGGGAAGAUAAUGACGGUACCCAAGGAGGAAGCCCCGGCUAACUACGUGCCAGCAGCCGCGGUAAU
rnacentral:rRNA from 1 species